AUUCACUUAUGCGAUCACGUGUACAUGACGCCUAUAUAUGUAUAUAUAUAAUAAUAAUUCUUCAUGUGGUAUUUAUUUACAAGCUCGUAAUAUAUAAUUUCUACAGUCGUCGUAUCUCGACGUUACGUUAGCACCUCAGAUCCACGGGAUAUUCUACAUACACAUUAUCAUAUUAUUUACGUUACCUAUACACCAUAUACAUUCAUAUAACUUAAUGAUUGAAAUAAUCGUUUCUACAUUUCCUUCGUAAUCAUUAUCAUCGAAUCCAAGGUGCGAUUCGCAAUCAUGGAUCAACGCUUCGCAGAAUUUUGAUCAACCGAUUUCGGCAACCAAGUUAAUUUAUACGGGUAAACACCUGUACACAUUUACUGGGUUUUCUAGGAACGAAAGUUCUCGGUCACCUUACUACGUGGCACGAGGAUCGGAGAUCAAGAUUAUCGUGACCAGCCACGCGAUCGUCAGAAGGAAUUUGAAAUUUGACGUCGAAUUUGCGCUCCCCGAAGAAAUCGAUUGCGCCGCGUUGUCGUCUCUGGUGUUCGAUCUUUCGGGUUCUCCGCCUCCACCGCCUCCGUCUUCGUGACGACCCCGGAGCCGGACAUCUGAAAUUAUUCGUCGAGCGCGGAGGUGCGGACGUUACUCUUAUACUCACAGUGAACGAUCAGCGAAAUCCUUUUGCUAACCGAGGGUGGAACGCCGUUGGAAGCUAUGCAGAG
rnacentral:misc_RNA from 1 species